rnacentral:rRNA from 1 species
UACGUAGGGUGCGAGCGUUAAUCGGAAUUACUGGGCGUAAAGCGUGCGCAGGCGGUUUUGUAAGCCAGAUGUGAAAGCCCCGGGCUCAACCUGGGAAUGGCGGUGGAAACUGGCGAGCUAGAGUGUAGCAGAGGGGGGUGGAAUUCCACGUGUAGCAGGUGAAAUGCGUAGAGAUGUGGAGGAACACCAAUGGCGAAGGCAGCCCCCGUGGGUUAACACUGACGCUCAGGCCACGAAAGCGUGGGGAGCAAACGAGG